rnacentral:lncRNA from 1 species
UUUUAUUAAUGGAUCACAAGGAUACUUCUUACAAGACAUACACACACAUACUUAUACUAGUUUACCUCUACUUAGUACACACACUUGCACCAUACUUAUACUUAGACCUAGACCUUACUUUUAGACAUCAUUACUCUAGGGUAUAACCAAGCUUACAAGCAAGCAAGGUACAACAACAACUCUUACACAACUCUAGUCUUCACUAGCUAGACUUUAACAUAACACACUACUCAUUUUGGGUCUAACAAAACAAUUAGCCCAAUCACUUAUUAUCUCAAAACAACACAAGCCCAACUUGUUUCUUCUUGUGUUGACUUUCCUCUUUGUCGUUGACAUCUUCUUCUCUUUGCUCUGUUCUUCUUCUUCUUCUUCUUCUCCUUCCCACUAAAGCUUUCUCCUUUGGUGCAGGUUUAAUCAAGGACUCAAUUCCCAACAGAAUCAGAAUCGUUUAUAGAUUUUGAUUUAAAUUUGAUUUUCUUUUCCCCCUGAAACCAAAAAUGUUAAAAACCGGAAAAGGAUUGGUGGUGAAAGGCUUGUCGACCUUACGUGGCCAUAUAUUUGCUCACCUAACAUUAGAUUUUAAUGUUAGGUCUUUAGGAAUGAUCUUUUAUUAGGUGAGCGUGCA